GGACCAAGAUUGGCCUAACUUGGGUUAUUUGGAAUAUAUAUCGGUGAUGUGGGAUAAUAGUUGGAUUAGAGGUAAUCGGGUGACCCACUAGGUAAUGAUGGAUGGGCUCUACUGUAUGGUCAAUCUCAAGCCUCGACAAUGCACCAUCUCCUUGAAGAGCCAACGACGCUGAUAAAGGAGAGGUCACGUCCUCGAUAGCCACCAUUGGAUUUGGAUAUGAGGGAGGAAAUUAGUAAAGAAGAGGGAAGAAGAAGCUGUGACAUUGAAAGAGUAGGAGCUUAACAGUCAUCACCUAUGCAUAAGAUCAUGAGGAAGAUUCAGAGCAUUGACAUGCACUUGUACCAACAUGAAUGGACAGCUGGAUUUACAUUAAAUAUACUUUUUGUUUAUUAA
rnacentral:lncRNA from 1 species